rnacentral:lncRNA from 12 species
AUGCCAUCUCCUCAAACAGGUAUUGGUGGCUUCUCGCCUUUGCAUUCAUGGGGGACUGCAAGAGGGCCUGGCCGCGGGGUGCUGCGGCUUCUCGGGUGGGGGUGGGGGUGGGGGGCGCUGAGAGGCGGCCUGCCGGGAGCCGCGGGGGGGGGGGCCGGGUGCCGGGUGCCCCCGGCGGUACCGUCGGGCAGCAGUGGCCAGGAGUCCCAUCCCGGCCGGGCAGGAAGCUGCGGGGGAAAGGCAGGGCCUUCCGCGGCGGGCAGUGGGCCCCGCUGUCUGCGCCCGGGGCGCCGGCGGCCGUUUCGGGGGCGACACUGCGCGGCCCCGCCUGCGCCAGCCCGACGCCGCGGGCGGGCCGCUGCUCACGCCGCCAGGUCUCAUCCGCCCGGGGACUCACCGUCCCUCGGGGGCGGGCGGGGGCAAAGGAGCCGCCCUAGAGCGGCCGCUGGGCCUCCCGGCUGGCCCCUCCCCUUCGUUCACCCCGGCUCGCCGAAUCUAGCGUCCCGCGGCCGCGGCUCUCACUUGUUUCAGAGGCCGCUUUGUCUCCGCGGGUGUGGGGCUCCGCGCGGCCCCGGGGCGCCCGAGCCUUUGUCGAGUUCGCAGGCCGGGGCGGGCGCUGGGGGCGGGCGCACGCACACAGGCGCACACGCACUGGAGGGCACGCACGCCCCCCCCCCCGGCGCAUGCGCGCGCCCGCCGCGCCGCCCGAAGCCCCGCCCCACCCGGCGGCGGCGCCCCGCAGUGCCCCGGUCCGCGCGCCUCCUGGCCGCCGCCCCGCAGACCUCCCCGCGCGGGGCUCGGGCCCCGGGCGCCGCCCGUUGUUGGCUUAGAGCCCAAGUCGCGUUUCCCGCUGCCCCUUCUCCCGGCUUCUCUCUUCCGUGCUGGCCGCCUGCGGUGUCUCUAUUCUUCCUGGGCCCUGCCUGGCACAAGAGGUAUUGCUUAAGAAGGAGGCUCAUUGAAUGGAUGUUCAGUUACAUCCAAUGUUUGCCUGAGAAUAUUCCAGAGGGCAGAUACCUGAAUCAUCAUGCAGCCAAUGCAGGCCAGAAGGACGGAUAAUAGUGAAACGGCACUGGACUGGGCCUCUGGGUCGAGUUCCCUUCUCGGUUAUGCCAACAAGGCUAUUAUACUCUGUACUCUCAAUGAGAGCGGUACUCUCUGGGCCUGAUUUUGCCCCCAGAAAAAUGAGGUGCAAACAGAAAAGAUAUUAAUGUUGGAUGGUUUAGACUUUAUUCCGGAUUUUAAUUACUUCAUUUGCAUUGAACUUUAUAAAUACUUGGAAAGCAGCAUGCCAUCCAUCCUCACUGGGUCCACAAAACUGCCAUGUGAAGAUCGCCAAGAAGCCACCAGACCGCUUUGCCUGGCACUCCUUUUAUCUUUCUGGCCUGAGGGGGCCAUGGGCUAAUGAUCAGUGAAAUCAGGAAAGGCCAAGAGGCCCAGCUAAUCCACAAAUUGGAUCAUCCACCCCUGAAUAAUCAAGAGUUGCUGGC